CCUACGGGAGGCAGCAGUGGGGAAUGUUGGACAAUGGGGGGAACCCUGAUCCAGCCAUGCCGCGUGUGUGAAGAAGGCCCUCGGGUUGUAAAGCACUUUCAGUGAGGAAGAACGCCUGGUGGUUAAUACCCAUCAGGAAAGACAUCACUCACAGAAGAAGCACCGGCUAACUCCGUGCCAGCAGCCGCGGUAAUACGGAGGGUGCGAGCGUUAAUCGGAAUUACUGGGCGUAAAGCGCGCGUAGGUGGCUUGAUAAGCCGGUUGUGAAAGCCCCGGGCUCAACCUGGGAACGGCAUCCGGAACUGUCAAGCUAGAGUGCAGGAGAGGAAGGUAGAAUUCCCGGUGUAGCGGUGAAAUGCGUAGAGAUCGGGAGGAAUACCAGUGGCGAAGGCGGCCUUCUGGACUGACACUGACACUGAGGUGCGAAAGCGUGGGUAGCAAACAGGAUUAGAUACCCCUGUAGUC
rnacentral:rRNA from 1 species